rnacentral:rRNA from 1 species
GUCUAUGGCCAUACCACCCUGAAAGUGCCCGAUCUCAUCUGAUCUUGGAAG